UAGUCCUACGGGGCGCAGCAGUGGGGAAUAUUGCACAAUGGGCGAAAGCCUGAUGCAGCAACGCCGCGUGAAGGAAGAAGGCUUUCGGGUUGUAAACUUCUUUUCUCAGGGACGAAGCAAGUGACGGUACCUGAGGAAUAAGCCACGGCUAACUACGUGCCAGCAGCCGCGGUAAUACGUAGGUGGCAAGCGUUAUCCGGAUUUACUGGGUGUAAAGGGCGUGUAGGCGGGAAAGCAAGUCAGAUGUGAAAACCAUGGGCUCAACCUGUGGCCUGCAUUUGAAACUGUUUUUCUUGAGUAAUGGG
rnacentral:rRNA from 1 species